rnacentral:rRNA from 1 species
GACGUAGGGCGCGAGCGUUGUCCGGAUUUAUUGGGCGUAAAGAGCUCGUAGGUGGUUUGUCGCGUUGUUCGUGAAAACUCACAGCUCAACUGUGGGCGUGCGGGCGAUACGGGGCAGACUUGAGUACUGCAGGGGAGACUGGAAUUCCUGGUGUAGCGGUGGAAUGCGCAGAUAUCAGGAGGAACACCGGUGGCGAAGGCGGGUCUCUGGGCAGUAACUGACGCUGAGGAGCGAAAGCGUGGGGAGCGAACAGG